rnacentral:rRNA from 1 species
CAUUAUACCGUGAAACUGCGAAUGGCUCAUUAAAUCAGUUAUCGUUUAUUUGAUAGUACCUUACUACUUGGAUAACCGUGGUAAUUCUAGAGCUAAUACAUGCUGAAAACCCCAACUUCGGGAGGGGUGUAUUUAUUAGAUAAAAAACCAACGCCCUUCGGGGCUUCUUGGUGAUUCAUGAUAACUUCACGGAUCGCAUGGCCUUGCGCCGGCGACGGUUCAUUCAAAUUUCUGCCCUAUCAACUUUCGAUGGUAAGGUAUUGGCUUACCAUGGUUUCAACGGGUAACGGGGAAUUAGGGUUCGAUUCCGGAGAGGGAGCCUGAGAAACGGCUACCACAUCCAAGGAAGGCAGCAGGCGCGCAAAUUACCCAAUCCCGACACGGGGAGGUAGUGACAAUAAAUACUGAUACAGGGCUCUUUUGGGUCUUGUAAUUGGAAUGAGUACAAUUUAAACCUCUUAACGAGGAACAAUUGGAGGGCAAGUCUGGUGCCAGCAGCCGCGGUAAUUCCAGCUCCAAUAGCGUAUAUUAAAGUUGUUGCAGUUAAAAAGCUCGUAGUUGAAACUUGGGCCUGGCUGGCAGGUCCGCCUCACCGCGUGUACUUGUCCGGCCGGGCCUUUCCUUCUGGAGAACCUCAUGCCCUUCACUGGGUGUGUUGGGGAACCAGGACUUUUACUUUGAAAAAAUUAGAGUGUUCAAAGCAGGCCUUUGCUCGAAUACGUUAGCAUGGAAUAAUAGAAUAGGACGUGCGGUCCUAUUUUGUUGGUUUCUAGGACCGCCGUAAUGAUUAAUAGGGACAGUCGGGGGCAUCAGUAUUCAAUUGUCAGAGGUGAAAUUCUUGGAUUUAUUGAAGACUAACUACUGCGAAAGCAUUUGCCAAGGAUGUUUUCAUUAAUCAGUGAACGAAAGUUAGGGGAUCGAAGACGAUCAGAUACCGUCGUAGUCUUAACCGUAAACUAUGCCGACUAGGGAUCGGGCGAUGUUCUUUUUCUGACUCGCUCGGCACCUUACGAGAAAUCAAAGUUUUU